UUAUUUGUAAUUCUCUUCCAGAUGCCUGCCUUCAUGUCCAACUCUGGUGAACCUGAACUUAUCAGGAAAUCCAUCUGUUACUUCAGCAGGACUGAACAACAUCCUCAUCUCUCUCAGAGAGGCCUGCCGACCUUUGAACCUUCUAAACCUUCAAGGCUGUGAGGUGUGUGGCCCCUGGGACACUGCCGGUCUGGACGGUUUGUCAGAGCUGGUCCAGGAUCUGCGUCUUUGCUCUCAGGGACUCAACAAGCUGGACCGGCAGGCCCUAAAGCAGAGCUGGGACAGCAGCCGCUCCCCGGGGCGCUUCAUCGACCGGAACAGUAGGUGUCUGCUCUCCACUCCAGCCUCGUCCUGAAGGGGGAAACUGAAAUGUGCUUCAGAGGAAAUGGCACAUCUUCAUCACUGACACGGAGUCAUGGGAACUCAUAAACACAAAACAGUUAUACUGAGGGUGCUAUAUGAAGAUUUCCUUCAGUUAGCGGGGAUGCAAUGAACAAGAACAGUGACAUACAAGGAUAUUUUGUGUUAUUGUCCUAUGUUUCAUGUCUUUUGUACGCCUUAUUUAUGUGUAUCUGUAAAAGUCUUCAAUUUGUUAUGUAAGCACUGUGUUUGUGUCAUGACGCAUCAACUGGAUGAUUGAAUGAUUUUGAUAUAAAAACAAUUAAAGUGACUCUUUUUGCCUUGGUCUUUCAGCAGCACAUUUUUCAUCUCUAAGAAGUUAAUACAAAUCAAAUGCAGAUAAAACUGGCUGUACCGUAUGCGCACAAAGUAACCUGAAGGAGAAAGGAAACAUUUUGACCUGUUGAUGGUGCUGUGAGAAAACACUGUUUAACAUCUCCACUGUGGGCGGGGCUUCUUUCUUUAUGACAGCUGUCUAUCAAUAAAUGCUAGACCCACAAA